rnacentral:lncRNA from 1 species
CAGAGUCGCCACUUGGGAUGGAUUGUUUUCUAGUGUCCCAAAUCACCAGUUUAUUUUAAAAUCCCAAAUCGAGGAAAAUUUGAAUUCUUUUGAACCCAAGCUCAUAUCAUACUGAAAAUCUACACCAAAAUGAAAUAAAAAAAGGAUGGAACAAAACCUGAAAUUGCUUUCUUGAAUAUCAAAUACGGCGAGCAAAAGAAGUAAAGGCAAAAACUCGAACGUGAAUACUCGCACAAAUGAAUCUGGAACGACAAAACUUGGACGACAACUGAACAAUAUUUCUUAGAGGGGUGGCUUUUUUCAGUUGAAUUUGGGGUGUUUUGAGGGGUGAUUUCACUCUUUUCGGCGAAAUUUGGAGCUGGAAUUUGGUGGUUUGAAACAGCUUUAAUGGUUGCAUUUAUGGGUUGUUUUAGGUGGCAAAUUUUGGUGGUUUAGGGCCUGUCUUUGGACGAAUUUACAGCUGACUUUUGGGUUGUGUUUUCAUGGCUUUUUGGAAUUAAUAAAUGAGGUGUUCGGCUGGGAUUUCGCACUGGUUUGUACAACACUUUUGCUAUUGAGUCUGGUUGUGUUUUGGGGCUAAAAUGAAGGUGAUUUGGAGGUGAAAUAUAUGCCAAGGUGAAAUUUUGGUAAGGAGUUGUUGCUAGCUGCUUUUUGUGUUGAG